rnacentral:rRNA from 1 species
UACGUAGGUGACAAGCGUUGUCCGGAUUUACUGGGCGUAAAGAGCGCGCAGGCGGUCGUUCAAGUCGAGUGUGAAAGCCCCCGGCUCAACUGGGGAGGGUCAUUCGAUACUGAUCGACUCGAAGGCAGGAGAGGGUAGUGGAAUUCCCGGUGUAGUGGUGAAAUGCGUAGAUAUCGGGAGGAACACCAGUGGCGAAGGCGGGUCUCUGGGCCGAUACUGACGCUGAGGAGCGAAAGCGUGGGGAGCGAACAGG